rnacentral:tRNA from 1 species
GGGCCCGUGGGGUAGCCAGGAUAUCCUCUCAGCUUGGGGUGCUGGUGACCCGAGUUCAAAUCUCGGCGGGCCCA